rnacentral:rRNA from 1 species
GUCUUAAUAGGGCGACUAGUUGCAUGCCGUAGACCCGAAACCGGGUGACCUAUCCAUGGCCAGGUUGAAGCGAGGGUAAAACUUCGUGGAGGACCGAACCACGUUGCUGUUGAAAAAGCAUGGGAUGAGCUGUGGAUAGCGGAGAAAUUCCAAUCGAACUCGGAGAUAGCUGGUUCUCCCCGAAAUAGCUUUAGGGCUAGCGUCGGAUAUGUGUAGUGGAGGUAGAGCACUGAAUGGGCUAGGGGGCAUAUCGCUUACCGAACCUUAUCAAACUCCGAAUGCCAUAUACAUUAAGUCCGGCAGUCAGACUACGAAUGAUAAGAUCCGUGGUCAAAAGGGAAACAGCCCAGACCGUCAGCUAAGGUCCCAAAGUGUAAGUUAAGUGGAAAAGGAUGUGGGAUUUCUAAGACAACUAGGAUGUUGGCUUAGAAGCAGCCACUCAUUUAAAGAGUGCGUAAUAGCUCACUAGUCGAGAGAUCCUGCGCCGAAAAUGUACCGGGGCUAAACUUACCACCGAAGCUACGGAUUUGCAAGUAAUUGCAAGUGGUAGGGGAGCGUCGUAAUCGGGCUGAAGUCGUACCGUAAGGAGCGGUGGACUGAUUACGAGUGAGAAUGUUGGCAUUAGUAGCGAGAUGUAGGUGAGAAUCCUACAGGCCGAAUAUCUAAGGUUUCCUCAGGAAGGCUCGUCCGCUGAGGGUUAGUCGGGACCUAAGCCGAGGCCGAAAGGCGUAGGCGAUGGACAAUCGGUUGAUAUUCCGAUACCACUACCAUCGUUAUUAUCGAGGGUGUGACGGAGAAGGAUAGUGUGUGCUAGCGAUUGGAAAUGCUAGUCUAAGCGUUUAGGAAGUUACGGUAGGCAAAUCCGCUGUAACAAUUCUGAGGCGUGAUGGGGAAGGUCAUUAAGACCGAAGUACAUGAUUCCAUGCUUCCAAGAAAAGCAUCUAGAGAGAGAAGUAGUGCCCGUACCGCAAACCGACACAGGUAGAUGAGGAGAGAAUCCUAAGGCCGGCGGAAGAAUUGCAGUUAAGGAACUAGGCAAAUUGACCCCGUAAGUUCGCGAGAAGGGGUGCCUGCGAGAGCAGGCCGCAGAGAAUAGGCCCAAGCAACUGUUUAGCAAAAACACAGGUCUCUGCUAAAGCGUAAGCUGAUGUAUAGGGGCUGACGCCUGCCCGGUGCUGGAAGGUUAAGGGGAACACUUAGCGCAAGCGAAGGUGUGAACUUAAGCCCCAGUAAACGGCGGCCGUAACUAUAACGGUCCUAAGGUAGCGAAAUUCCUUGUCAGGUAAGUUCUGACCCGCACGAAUGGCGUAAUGACUUGGGCACUGUCUCAACUGCAAAUCCGGCGAAGUUGUAGUGCGAGUGAAGAUGCUCGCUACCCGCGAUUGGACGGAAAGACCCCGUAGAGCUUUACUGUAGCUUAGCAUUGAAUUCCGGUAUUGUCUGUACAGGAUAGGUGGGAGACUGGGAAACUAGGGCGUCAGCCUUAGUGGAGUCAACCUUGGGAUACCACCCUGACAGUACUGGGGUUCUAACAGGACGCCAUGAAUCUGGUGACUGGACAUUGUUAGGUGGGCAGUUUGACUGGGGCGGUCGCCUCCUAAAAAGUAACGGAGGCGCCCAAAGGUUCCCUCAGAACGGUCGGAAAUCGUUCGUAGAGUGCAAAGGCAGAAGGGAGCCUGACUGCGAGACCUACAAGUCGAGCAGGGACGAAAGUCGGGCUUAGUGAUCCGGUGGUACCUCGUGGGAGGGCCAUCGCUCAACGGAUAAAAGCUACCUCGGGGAUAACAGGCUGAUCUCCCCCAAGAGUCCACAUCGACGGGGAGGUUUGGCACCUCGAUGUCGGCUCGUCGCAUCCUGGGGCUGUAGUAGGUCCCAAGGGUUGGGCUGUUCGCCCAUUAAAGCGGCACGCGAGCUGGGUUCAGAACGUCGUGAGACAGUUCGGUCCCUAUCCGUCGCGGGCGUAGGAAAUUUGAGAGGAGCUGUCCUUAGUACGAGAGGACCGGGAUGGACUGACCUCUGGUGCACCAGUUGUUCUGCCAAGAGCAUGGCUGGGUAGCUAAGUCGGGAAGGGAUAAACGCUGAAAGCAUCUAAGCGUGAAGCCCCCCUCAAGAUGAGAUUUCCCAUAGCAUAAGCUAGUAAGACCCCUUGAAGAACACAAGGUUGAUAGGUCAGAGGUGGAAGUGCGGUAACGUAUGUAGCUGACUGAUACUAAUAGGUCGAGGGCUUGACCAA